rnacentral:lncRNA from 1 species
CUCAGGAACAGCCUUCUCCUGCCUCCUCUGCACCUGGACAACUCAACUCCUGCCAAGAUGUCCUGCCAGCAGAACCAGCAGCAGUGCCAACCCCCACCCAAGUGUCCCUCACCCAAGUGUCCCCCAAAGAGCCCAGUACAGUGUCUGCCUCCAGCUUCCUCUGGCUGUGCCCCAAGCUCUGGGGGCUGUGGCCCUAGCUCCGAGGGCGGCUGCUUCCUGAACCACCACAGGCGCCACCACCGAUGCCGGCGCCAGAGGCCCAACUCCUGUGACAGGGGCAGUGGUCAGCAAGGCGGGGGCUCUGGCUGCGGCCAUGGCUCUGGAGGCUGCUGCUGACCUGGAUCCUGAUGCUGAGACAAGCGAUUUUGGAGGAAACAAGAAUCCCAAGGGCCCAGGAAAACCCCAUCUUGAUGCAUGAGUUCCCAGAUACCCUCUUCUGGCUUUCACAGGCUGAGCUAGGGGUUUUCCUGUGGAAGGUCUGAGCUCUCCCCAGAAGGCACUUCCUGUCUGAUGUCCAGGAUGUCACAUGUUCCCUUACCCCUGUACCUGUGAAGGAUUGGCAGUGCUUGUGCCUGACCUCAUCAAAAAAUAAAGCUCCUUGUCCUCAUUAAAAAAAA